AUGAACGCUGGCGGCGUGUCUAAGGCAUGCAAGUCGAGUGGGUUCAGACCCACGGCAAACGGGAGCGUAACACAUUGGUAAUCUGCCUCUAACUGGAGGAUAACCCGCCGAAAGGCGGGAUAAUACUCCAUUAACUAUUUCGUCACAUGUUGGAAUAGUAAAGAUUUAUCGGUUAGAGAGGAGCCUAUGGUCUAUCAGCUAGUUGGUAGUGUAAAAGACUACCAAGGCUAUGACGGAUAGCGGGUGUGAGAGCACGACCCGCCUCACUGGGACUGAGAAACUGCCCAGACACCUACGGGUGGCUGCAGUCAAGAAUAUUCCUCAAUGGGCGAAAGCCUGAAGGAGCGACGCCGCGUGACUGAUGAAGUCUUUCGGGAUGUAAAGGUCUUUUCCAAAGGAAGAAACAAUGACGGUACUUUGGGAAUAAGAGGUUGCUAACUCUGU
rnacentral:rRNA from 1 species